UACGUGGGGUGCAAGCGUUAUCCGGAUUUACUGGGCGUAAAGCGUUCGUAGGCGGAUUAGUAAGUGACGGGUUAAAGCUCAGGGCUCAACUCUGAAUCAGCUCGUCAUACUGCUAGUCUAGAAUUAGUUCGGGGAGGUUGGAAUUCUCGGUGGAGGGGUGAAAUCCGUUGAUAUCGAGAGGAACGCCAAGGGUGAAGACAGGCCUCUAGGACUUAAUUGACGCUGAGGGACGAAAGCUAGGGUAGCAAAGCGG
rnacentral:misc_RNA from 1 species